rnacentral:rRNA from 1 species
AUGAACGCUGGCGGCGUGCCUAAUACAUGCCAGUCGAGCGAACAGAUGAGGAGCUUGCUCCUCUGACGUUAGCGGCGGACGGGUGAGUAAUACGUGGAUAACCUACCUAUAAGACUGGGAUAACUUCGGGAAACCGGAGCUAAUACCGGAUAAUAUAUUGAACCGCAUGGUUCAAUAGUGAAAGACGGUUUUGCUGUCACUUAUAGAUGGAUCCGCGCCGCAUUAGCUAGUUGGUAAGGUAACGGCUUACCAAGGCAACGAUGCGUAGCCGACCUGAGAGGGUGAUCGGCCACACUGGAACUGAGACACGGUCCAGACUCCUACGGGAGGCAGCAGUAGGGAAUCUUCCGCAAUGGGCGAAAGCCUGACGGAGCAACGCCGCGUGAGUGAUGAAGGUCUUCGGAUCGUAAAACUCUGUUAUUAGGGAAGAACAAAUGUGUAAGUAACUAUGCACGUCUUGACGGUACCUAAUCAGAAAGCCACGGCUAACUACGUG